CCUACGGGGGGCAGCAGUAGGGAAUAUUGGACAAUGGGCGAAAGCCUGAUCCAGCCAUGCCGCGUGAUAGAUGAAGGCCCUCUGGGUUGUAAAUAUCUUUUAUCUGGGAAGAAACAAUCUUAUUCUUAAGAUCUUGACGGUACCAGAGGAAUAAGCACCGGCUAACUCCGUGCCAGCAGCCGCGGUAAUACGGAGGGUGCAAGCGUUAUCCGGAUUCACUGGUGUUAAGGGGGGCGGAGACGGGCUGGUAGAAAGCGCCGAGCUUAACUUGGAAACUGCCAGUGAGACUGCCAGUCGUGAAUGUCGUAGAGGUAAGCGGAAUGUUGCAUGUAGCGGUGAAAUGCUUAGAGAUGUUACAGAACACCAAUUGCGAAGGCAGCUUACUAUGCGAUGAUUGACGCUGAGGCACGAAAGCGUGGGGAGCAAACAGGAUUAGAUACCCCAGUAGUC
rnacentral:rRNA from 1 species